rnacentral:misc_RNA from 1 species
CUUGGAUCCGUUGGCUUUGUUGUAUUUUGGGUAUUGGCUGUUUUUCCUGCUGUACCUUUCAUGCCUAUUGGAAGGACUGCAGGUUCUCUCCUUGGAGCUAUGCUUAUGGUUGUUUUUGGAGUCAUAACUCCGGAUCAAGCAUAUGCUGCUAUUGAUCUUCCAAUUUUAGGCCUUCUUUUCGGGACUAUGGUGGUUAGUGUUUAUCUAGAAAGAGCAGAUAUGUUUAAAUACUUGGGUAAAUUGUUGGCUUGGAAGAGUCAAGGAGCUAAGGAUUUGCUCUGUAGAAUCUGCUUGAUCUCAGCUGUUUCGAGUGCUUUUUUUACGAAUGAUACGUCUUGUGUUGUAUUAACCGAGUUUGUAUUGAAAAUAGCUAGGCAACAGAAUCUACCACCACAUCCGUUUCUGUUAGCUCUUGCUUCCAGUGCGAACAUUGGAUCUUCAGUAACUCCAAUUGGGAAUCCACAGAACUUAGUUAUAGCAGUACAAAGCAAGAUAUCUUUUGGCAAGUUUUUAUUUGGUAUUUUUCCUGCAAUGCUUGUUGGCGUAACUGUUAAUGCUCUGCUUCUGCUUUGUAUGUAUUGGAAGUUGUUGUCUGUACAAAAGGAUGUAGAGG